UGCAAGUCGAGCGAGACCUUCGGGUCUAGCGGCGGACGGGUUAGUAACGCGUGGGAACGUACCCAAAGGUAGGGAAUAGCCACUGGAAACGGUGAGUAAUACCGCAUACGCCCUUCGGGGGAAAGAUUUAUCGCCUUUGGAUCGGCCCGCGUUAGAUUAGAUAGUUGGUGGGGUAACGGCCUACCAAGUCUACGAUCUAUAGCUGGUUUUAGAGGAUGAUCAGCAACACUGGGACUGAGACACGGCCCA
rnacentral:rRNA from 10 species